rnacentral:rRNA from 1 species
UACAGAGGUGGCAAGCGUUGUUCGGAAUCACUGGGCGUAAAGGGCGCGUAGGCGGCCGCUCAAGUCGGGGGUGAAAGCCUGUGGCUUAACCACAGAAUUGCCUUCGAUACUGUUUGGCUUGAGACCGGAAGAGGUUAGUGGAACUGCGAGUGUAGAGGUGAAAUUCGUAGAUAUUCGCAAGAACACCAGUGGCGAAGGCGGCUGACUGGUCCGGUUCUGACGCUGAGGCGCGAAAGCUAGGGGAGCAAACGGG